rnacentral:rRNA from 1 species
UACGGGAGGCAGCAGUGGGGAAUAUUGCACAAUGGGCGCAAGCCUGAUGCAGCGACGCCGCGUGAGGGAUGACGGCCUUCGGGUUGUAAACCUCUUUCAGUAGGGAAGAAGCGAAAGUGACGGUAC